AUUCUUCAUAUUUCUCAGCAAAAAACGCCAUUGAAGGGUCCCUCCAAGCUGGUUUUUCAUAUAUUUGGAUCAUAUCAAGAACUGAAGAAAACAGAAUUAGAUCGAGGGAAGUCGAAAGUAGUCGAGUAGUUGAUUUCGUCCGUCGAUAUCCGAGAUUUAGAAGUCACGAUAUGAGCUCGGGGAUCGUCAACAAAGUCUAUCACACUAUCGACAUCUUUUGGGUAUUUUGAUAAAUUUUUUUUAACUUGAUAUUAUGGCAUGUAUAGGCUUGCUUAUGUUUUUGGUUAGUUUUGGAACAUGUAUAUAAAUGGCCAUGCGAAAAUGGCUCAUCUUCUUUUGAUCGAAUUUGUUGUUUAUGUAUAUGGUCUUUAUGGUCAUUGAAAUGGAGUAUAUAAUUAUGCAUAUUUGAUUAUGGUAUAAGCUUGUGAUAUGAAAAUAAAUGUGAUG